rnacentral:rRNA from 1 species
UUAACCGUCGACAGUCAGGUAACGAGCGAGACCCAUGUCCACUGUUGCUAACACGUCCGCUGGGAUGGUGAGUACACGGUGGAGACCGCUGGCGCUAAGUCAGAGGAAGGGGUGGUCGACGGUAGGUCAGUAUGCCCCGAAUAUCCCGGGCUACACGCGGGCUACAAUGGACAGGACAAUGGGCUACGACCCUGAAAGGGGGUGUCAAUCUCUUAAACCUGUCCUUAGUUCGGAUUGAGGGCUGAAACUCGCCCUCAUGAAGAUGGAAUCCGUAGUAUCGCAUCAACACAGUGACCGGAGA